GUUCCAAACUAGUAAAACCCACAAAACAUUGCAAGGUAAAACAUCAAACCUAAACUAGUAAAACUAAAGACCAUAGAAUGCUAUAUACAAGGUGGGUCUCAAAGACACUAUAACACCAGGAACCCAAAUAUAGAGAUAUAAACUAGAAGCCAUAUUUCUGCUAGUAACAUUUUUCUAUGUCAUCGAGUGAAGCGCGGUGGUUCCUCU
rnacentral:misc_RNA from 1 species